CCAGUACUAUCUGCUGUCAAGGGCCUUGCACAGAACAUACGCUCAACACAUGCUGGCAGAAUUGCUUUACUGAAGUUUUUUUCUUCAACCUGACAAUCUUUAAUCUGACGUGUCCCCAGAACGUAGAGCUUUCAAAGAAGCUAAAUCCUCCAAGCUGACUCUAUGCCCUGAACAAUGUCUGCUUCUCCACCAACUGUACCAUUAACUACCUUUUGUUCUUCUGUUUCAUUCAAGAUCAAGGAGGUAUGCAAGCAGAGAAUCUCAACACGGCUCCCUAAACCAAAAUCUACGAGCUUCACUAAGCUUUCCCCUAAAGCUCCCACAGGGCCUAUGGAUAAGCCUCUUGACCACACUGGCUGUGGGAAGCUACAAGUCAUAAGGACUGUCACAUCUAACACUUUCUUCCACAUGGGAGGGAAAAGUUCUGAUAACCCACGAGUAUGUCCAAGUACAGAACGUUGAAUUCAACCAGUCAUCUACAAGGCAGGACACCGCCCCCUAGCAGUAAGUGAAAGUAAUUCUUUUCAUCACACUAAAAACACUCUCAUUGAAUCAAGAGAAAGGUGUGCCUGUAAUUCAGUGUGAACAGAGUAACACAAUGAUAUUUUAAGACAAAUAAGGCCUUUUUGACACAGGAGACAGUUAUAUUUCACAAAACUUCAGUCAGAAAAAAAAGAAUCCUACAAAGAGCACGACCCAAUGUUCUCUAGGAUCCUAUACCUAGAACUGGAGGCACAACCCUAGAAGAAAUCUUUACAGCUAAGGACAGUGCUUUAGCCAGCUUUCCUAAUGGCAAAGGAACUGCCAUUUUCCAUCCAGCCAAGCGUGCUUCAAUGCACUGAUGCCAUUGUAGAAAUACCCCCGGGCCCACUCCAAUUUCAAGGAGAAGGAGCUGGAAGCCUGGGCAGUAUUGAUCUAACCAGGCCAAAGAGAGGGAUGAUGUGCAGCCGUCCCAGAAGGCAACUGGCAGAGGGAGAAGGUGGGGAGGUUGGGUGAAUUAAAAGCUUCAAGUGGAAAAGUCUAAGUUAACAGGAAGUAGUGGGAGAACAGUGGGAGGAAGUGGAAUACAAAAGGUGAUGAAGUUCUGACACAAAAAUAACAGAAGAGAGCGAGCUCAGAGGGAUGUGCAGGGCAGUAGCAAGUGGACAGUGCAGUGGGAAAACAGGCAGGGUGCCCAGUGCUGUGCCUGACAUAAGCGGGUAAUGUCAAGUGAGCAGAGGAUGAGUGAAGGAGGGAGAGAAGGGCCAUUCAGUCACAACACAAGUGAGAAAGGGCACUAAGAGACGGCAAUGGUAUACGACAGGGUCAGGAAAAGCAGUUACGCCAGGUGACACGCAACACUGAUAACCAUGAGAAUGGAAAGAAAAAACACUGGACCGCCUAUAGUGGAAACCAAACAGACUGACAAGAAGCAGAGAACAAGGAAAACAAGCACCAAUACUCCCAGGAGAACAAAAUACCCUGGGAUAGUUUUACCUUGAAGAAGAGCACAAACUAUGUUAUAUGUUGGGAGAUUUCAAAAUUGUUUUCUCCUAUGUCAGAAGACUCCCUAAAGUACAUUUUCACACCAAGAUGUUAUAAGUUCAAGAGCAAGCAACAAUAGAGGUACAAGAUAUUGUACAAAGUACUAAAAGACAGAGUAGGAAAUUAACAGUAACACUUCCAUGGCAAGCAGCAGAAACCCAUCUUUAAAUGGUAAUAUAGUUCUAAUCCCAUUAAGACAAAAGUCUAUACAGUAACAAAGUCUAUUUUAAUGAAAGAAUUACCAACUAAAAACCAUGCUUCUUUUAAAGCAAUAUGUAAUACAAUAAAAAUGCAUAAACAACUCAAAACUUGGAACACUAUCUGGAAUUCAAUGAAAUGGUGUUUGACCUAUAACACAACUGAAACACAAAGAAUCCUGUCUCCUGAGCAUAAUGCUGUUUCUGCAGAAAUGUGGCCCCUCUGAAGAACAAUGAAAAUGCAAGAAGCUAUCCUAAAAAUUCCAGAGUGACUUUAUUAAGUCAAAAUUUUUAAAGGAAGCAGAAAAAAAUCCAAGUGAAUGAAACUAAUCCAAGUUGUAACAAAAAAAUUUAAUAAGCUGAUACUUUUAUGCUGGAGUCUUUCCUCAGCCCUUCUUUUACUUAGCUUCAAUGACUUCUGAACUAAUCACCUAGUAACUUUUUGGAAUAAAGUAUCUGUUUUAACAGGGACGUGACUGAUCUAAUAUAUGACUGAUAAUUAUGGACUGAGUAAUGAAGUAAUUGAUGUAAAACACAAUUCUCUCUGAGGUGUCUUUCAAAUUCCUGCUUUUGGGGAUACGUGACAGACAACCAGGGGUCUGACAAUGAGUCUGGGGCAAAGGUCUGCAAACUUCAGUCCACAGGCCAAAUUCAGACCACUGUCUGUUUUUGUAUGGCCAGCAAAUUAAGAAUAGAGUUUAUAUUUUCAAAUAGUAGAAAAAAAUCAAAAGAAGAAUAUUUUGUGAGAUGUAAAAAUUACAUGAAAUUCAAAUUUCUUUGUCCAUAGAUAAAGUUUUAUUGGAACACAGCCACACUCAUUUGUUACGGACAACAUUUACUGUCUAUGAUUGCUUUUAUGCUACAAGGGUAGAGUUGGGUAGUUUUGACAGUGACUGGAUA